rnacentral:rRNA from 1 species
UACGUAGGGUGCGAGCGUUGUCCGGAAUUAUUGGGCGUAAAGGGCUCGUAGGCGGUCUGUCGCGUCGGGAGUGAAAACUCAGGGCUUAACCCUGAGCCUGCUUCCGAUACGGGCAGACUAGAGGUAUGCAGGGGAGAACGGAAUUCCUGGUGUAGCGGUGAAAUGCGCAGAUAUCAGGAGGAACACCGGUGGCGAAGGCGGUUCUCUGGACAGUUCCUGACGCUGAGGCACGAAGGCCAGGGGAGCAAACGGG